rnacentral:misc_RNA from 1 species
UUAUCAGGUUAUAUCAUAAGAUUGACAUCGACGACUACGUGGUUUGGUGGAGGCGCGGGUCCGCCCGGGGGCGGGGGUCCACGACGGUUCACGGUGUUUCUCAUUAGGGCCAGUGGCUUUUCGCCCGGGGGCUACUUCGCCGGCCGACUGGGAGUUCACUAAUGAUCCUUCCGCAGGUUCACCUACGGAAA